CACCCCUGACCCGAAGGUAGACACUCAACCACUGAGCCACCCAGAUCACUCAUCUGGAAAAAUGAGCUGGCAUAUCAUGAGGAAUUCAGCCCUCUGAAGAGGAACUUAUCCCAAGGAACUGAAGCAUCUUGCCAAUCAAACUAAUUUGCCAGGAACAUGCAUGAACCACCUUGGAAGUUGUGAUAAUUUUAUGUGUUAAGUUGACUGGAUCAGAAGAUCUGAGAUACUCAGUCAAGCAUUACUUCUAGGUGUGUCUAAUGGGUGUUUCUGAAUGAGAUUAGCAUUUGAAUUGGUGGUCUCAGUAAAUUACUCUGCCCUCACCAAUGUGGAUGGGGAUCAUCCAAUCUGUUGAAGUUCUAAAUAGAACAAGACAGCAGAAGAAGGAGAAAAUUGCCCUUUUCUGCCUUAUUACUUAAGCUUGGACAUCUGGUCUCAACUUUUUCUGCCCUUAAACUGGGAUUUACAUCAUUAGCUCUCCUGGUUCUCAGGCAGUUGGACUGGGUCUGAAUUAUACCACUGGCUUUCAACAGGCUCCUGCUUACAGAUAGCAGAUUAUAGAGCUUCUUUGCCCCACAAACAUGUGAGCCAAUUUAUCAUAAUAAAUCUCCUUGUAUAGUC